GCUGAAGUAGUUUAAAUGGUCAAAACAUACCACUCAUGACGGUAAAAAGAAGGUUCAACUCCUUUUUUCGGCU